CGUGGUCGGCGCGCCCUGUUCGGCGCCGACGUCGCGGGCGGCACGGCGGCGGCGACUGGCCAGGACGCGGGCGAGGCGGCCGGCGCCGCGCACGUGCUGGACUGGGAGAGCGACCCACAAAAACUGCUCAACAUCAGGGCUGACUGGGACCGGUGCCUGGUGGGGCCGGAGGACCCGCUGGGCUCGGCCGUACCGCCCGGCUGGGUGGUGCCCGCCCCGCCCAGCAGCACAACCUGGGCCAGCUACCUGGUCCGCUGACGCCCGCCAGCCACUGGCGGACAGCACACUCCGCCCUGCAGCGCCAUCUGAGCCAGCUACCCGGUCCACUGACGCCCGCCAGCCACCGGCGGACGGCACACCCCGCCCUGCAGCGCCAUCUGGGCCAGCUACCCGGUCCACUGACGCCCGCCAGCCACCGGCGGACGGCACACCCCGCCCUGCAGCGCCAUCUGUGGCGCGCGCCAUCCGCGCCGCCUGCCACGGAGGACUGGGCUGUCACGUUGCAGCACCGUGUCGCGCCAUUUGAUUGGCAGUCCGAGGAUCGGAGUGCGAAGGCGUUGAUUACGGCUACGACGCACCGUUUACUAGCGCUGAUUCCUUUAGUAAGGAUCGUUCUUUUGGCAUUCGAUUAUGUGCCAUAAUUGCGGUGCCUCCUAUGUUGUACGACAAAUAAAGCAAGUCUAACAGCA